GAAGAAGAAGAAGAAGAAGAAGAAGAAGAAGAAGAAGAAGAAGAAGAAGAAGAAGAAGAAGAAGGAAAGCAUUUGGAGAAAUAAAGCUUCAGAUAGAGAAGUGAAACAUCAUGAUUGGAUGUCUGGGUGACGAGCAGAGUGACAUCAUCAUCCAUCCCGGGCUGAUGUGAUAAUCACACCAUCUCUAUCGCUGUAACGCUGCUUCAGGGAAGGAAGCGACAGGCGACAUGAACAGCAGGGUUAGUGUCUUACUGACUGGGUGUGUAACUUUAUUCUGCAGAGCGAACUCUUCUUUCUUCUCUGAUGCAAAUUAAAGAGUUGAAGCAGCAGCUGAUGCUUUUUCCUGAAUCUCAGCUUCAUUCUCUCCGACAACAUCCCGACUAUAACACGUCUGAUGACUUCAGUUAUACUGUAACAAAUAAAUCAAUACUGAUCACUCGUA